CGGGCUCCAGACGGUGCGGCGGCGCUCGGUCGACUCGCGGUGUUGGCUGGCCCCGCCUCCGGCGGGGCUGGCUCGCUCCGCUUCGCGCCGGCCUGU
rnacentral:tRNA from 1 species